rnacentral:lncRNA from 1 species
GCGCUGUUCUGGUUGAAUCUGAAUUUAAAAACAAAAAUUCGUUGGAUUGUUAGAACUCUUUUUUUUUUUUUUACGAAUUUAAAGCAUUUAAUCAUCAAAUCUUGUUAUAAAUUGCUUGAAUAAAAGUAAGUUAAGUAAAGUUCCUCUGACAUGUAUCAUAUUUUAUUAGAUAAACCAAGGAUUAUCAUAACGGUUUUAAAUCUUACUACAAGUUUGUACUUAUGUGUUGCUGGUGGAACAGGAGAAUAGUGAUGGCUGAGGGCGUUGUGUCGUUUGGAGUGGAGAAACUCUGGGAUCUCCUGAGUCGAGAAUCAGAGAGACUGCAGGGAGUUCAUGAGAAAGUUGAUGAUCUAAAAUGUCAGAUGAGAAUGUUACAGUCGUUGUUGAAAGAUGCAGAUGCCAAGAAAUAUGAGAGUGUGGUGAGAAACUUCUUGGAAGAUGUCAAAGACAUUGUUUUUGAUGCUGAAGACAUAAUCGAAUCCUUUCUUUUGAAAGAAUUGAGUAGAAACCAAAAAGGGAUCAAGGGGCGUGUGAAAAGACUUGCUUGUUUCUUAGUGGAUCGCCGAGGUCUUUCUAUGGACAUUGAAGGCAUAACUAAGAGAAUGGCCAAGGUUGUUGGGCAAAUGCAGAGCUUUGGAAUACAACAGAUCAUCUACAGAUCACCGUCUCUACAAGAGAGACAAAGACCAAGGGAGAACCGACAAACAUAUCCAAAGACAUCUCAAAAGGAUCUUGUGGGGGUGGAACAGAGUGUUAACGAAUUGGUUAGUCAUUUGGUGGAGAAUGAUAGCAUCCAAGUAGUUUCCAUAUCGGGGAUGGGUGGUAUUGGGAAAACCACUCUUGCCAGACAAGUUUUUCAUCAUGACAUUGUUCGAAGUCAUUUUGAUGGAUUCUCAUGGAUCUGCGUUUCGCAAGAUUGUAAGCGGAUGGAAAUUUGGCAAAAGUUAUUGCAAGACCUUAGACCACAUGAUAAGAGCAUCGAACAUAUGAAUGAAGAAACACUCCAGGCUGAGCUCUUUCACUUGUUGGAAACAUCUAAAUAUUUAAUUGUCAUGGAUGAUGUGUAGAAUUGUGUCAUCAAUCUUCUAAGCCUCUGAGUCCAACAGAAGGUUUGAAUAUGCUGAGUGAAGGAAAGACUCUUGGUCCAGUAGAAGGUUUGCCAAAGCUAAUAACAUACAUGUGAGAAGCACGUGAGUUGGGGCAAUAGGAAUCAUCAUCUUCUGGGUAUAUCAUCGUCAUCUUCUCCGACGGAGAGUUAGUUACAGAAACAGAGCGAGAGCUCAAGAUGAGAGAGUGAGAGCGAUUGGGUUGGUGAGAGUGAGCUAGAGAGAGAUGUGAUUCUUGGUAUAUCUAGACUCAUAGACUUGUUCUUCUUCCUCAGUCUUGUAACUCAGAUUAGGUGUAAUCGAGAGAGGAAGAAGACGAGUGAACCUCCGGUGACGUACUCUGUAAUCACAUUGAUUAUAGUGGAUUGGCUGAGAGACCGUUUCUCUCCCCGGUGAUGUAUAGCGGCUUCUCCACAUCGGAGAAGUGCGGUGAACACCGGGUAAACAAAGUCUCGUGUGUUAUUUCUUUAUGCUUGAUUCAUGAUUGAUUAGAUUCGUUUAGGCUUGUGAUGAGUAUUGAUUAAAGCCAAGAUCACAUGAUGAAUCCUCAACAAAUGGUAUCAGAGCCUCGGUUUAGGCGAUUCAAGGAUUCAUCGGAAACAGAUCAAGAUCGGUUCUGAAGUAGAAUCGAAUAAGGAUCGGAGGAAGUUUCGAUCGCAUCGUUGUUGCGAGAGUGAAGAAUCAGUAGAUGUUGCAAGAGAUGAAAUGUCAAGAGCAAAGAAAGAAGAUGAAGACGUUGGCUCGUGGUAGACGACAACGUCGGAGACGGAGGAAAGGAAUCUCACGGAGGAAGACGCAACCGGUUCAGCUAGUUUAUGGUUUGUGGAAUCAGAUGGUUUUGUAAGUUAAUCUCUCUCAUCUCUAGAGUUAUAAGCUGGUGUGAGUUGCUCUGGAUCAAAGAGACUUGCAAGAUAUGGUGUGGCGUUCACAAGAGAACGAAGAACCAUAGACUGAAGUGUAAAGAAUCAGAUAUGUGAUGUUGUUUUGCAGUUCUGGAAUUGGUUUGAUGCUGGCUGUUUGAGGUGGAGGAUCUCAGGUUAAAAUGUUAAGUCAAGAUCAGACUUAUGGCUACAUAAUCAAAGUCAGUUCAUAGUUUCCUCAGGUUCAAUUCUUGGAGACAAAUGGUCUCAGUCUGCAACAGUCACAAAGUUUUGUUGUGGUGGCUGGAUACUCAUCUACUGCAGUGUAUAAAGAAUGGAAGCUCUCUAAAUCACAAGGGCGGUAUGUUAUCUUUGCAAAGAGUGAUCAAGGCUCAGGUUUGGUGUCAAACUGUUUGUUGGUCAGCUUGUUUGUGGAAGGAAGAUGCAGCUGUGGUUUCAGGAUGUUUGGAAGAAUGGCAGUUGGUGGCAUCUAUGAAUCUCAGGUUUAAGGGACGCUUUAGAAGUGAGUUUGUAUGUGUGUCAAAGGCUGUUCAGAUACUGUUAAAGCUUUCAAGAUUCAAGUUUGAAGUUAAGUUGCAGAGAAGAAUGGUUUCUACAGGUUUUGGAACAAGACAGAUAUGUUAUUUUGAGGAGCUGGUUCAGAUUUCAGAAAGUUUGAGUUGCAGGUUCAGUCACAGAGAUUAAGGGUCAGGUUCUGGUGAAUGUAAGAAGCUCAGGUGGUAAUGAUCAAGGUCAGGAAAAUGAUCAUAAUGGAGCUUGUAGCAGCAAGGAUUGUUUCUACACAAAAGUAUCAAGGCUGUUACAUUUAAUGAAUUUCUUCAGUGCCAGUAAAGUGAUAAAACAGAUGGGAUUCUGUGGUAUAUCACCUGACGUUUUUUCACAUAAACAAACGUCACGGCUUAUUAGAAGAAUGCCUGGAGUCAUCAAGAAAGAAGCAGAAGAAGCAGGAACAUGUUAUGUUUCCAGAAGAAUGCGCCAAGAGAAAAGACAAGAAGUCUAAGAGCAAUGUGAGUAUAUGUUGGAAUAGAGUUUCUUGUGGGAUCAAAGUUGAUAACUUUGGAGGAGUAUGAGUGGAAGAGGCAGCUCGUGGUAGAGGUUUAACUGUCUCACUCAAGGCGUUUCUGCAGAGGGUUAAAAGCGAUGAUUUCUUAAAGAGAAAGAAGGCUGAUAGAAUAUCAGUGAUAAGGAGCCAAGGAGAAGAAACAAGUUUCUGGUUUUAUGGCUCAAGGAAAGGAAAGCAAGGAGUUUGUUUUGCUGGUUGUAGUUCUUUUGAACAUGGAGUUUACAAGUUCAAGUCUUUGCAGGAUGUCUCGGGUCAUUGGUGCUUGUGUUCUGUAUUUUAAAGACACACAAGAAGUUUCAGGAGAUGGAGAAAUCUGAGAGAAACUUCAAAGAAUGAUUGUGAGGACAUGUUAGGAUGAAGGGACAGCAGGAUGAAAGCACAGCAGGCGGCAGUCACUCAAGGUUGUAGCUUUCAGAGGCUAUGAAAAGAAGCUCUAUGCCAAGAUAUAAAGGCAAGAAGCAUGGUGUUACUGAUAGUAAAAUCAGUGGAGUAAAAUCAGUUUGAGAGAAUCUGGUUUCGGGUUUAUCUGUCACAGGUUCUGAUGGGUUAAAUUCAGAAGGGUCUCACAGGGUUUAAAGUGUUAUGUGAAGAUGUUUUGUUGGCAGAGACUAUAACAGGUUGGAGCACAGUCAGUUUGGUGGGAUUAAAAUCAGAUUGGAAAGCUCGGAAGAAGCUGCGACACUUGGUGGUUAUGGUAUUAGCGACUAUAGUUGAAUGGCUGCAAAAUUAAUAUAAUUUUGAUAAGAUCUGAAAUAAAAUUCAGAAGCAAGAAGCCAUGUUUACAGUCAGCUACACAAAGGGGUUAAGUGAAUCAAAGAAGAAAGUGCAGGAUGGUUAUAAGUCUGAGAAGUGAAGCUUCAUGUGAAGAGGAACACGUUGGGGUUUUGAAAGGUUAUUGUUUCAGGUGGAGUCUUGCCUCUACAAGUUUUGUAGUGCACAUCUCUAGAUGUUUUUUGACUCCAGGUGGAGCAGUGUUAUGUUUCAGACAGUGUUCUCAGGUCAACUUCAGUAUGAAAAGGUUUCAGAGGUUCUGCGGAUGAGCUUACAAGAGCUACAGAGAUUCAGGUUGGUUUUGUGAAGCAAGAAGAGUAAAAGAGAGCCAAGCCAGUGUCAGCAGGUUCAAGCUCAACAUGUUAUGGUCAGAUGGAGUAAAAGGGGUUCAGCUUGUGGUCAGAGUUGUGAAGAGGAUAUCGGCAGUGUUAGUAUGGUUUCUCCACAGGAAGCAUGGAGUAAAACGACAUCGAGGCAGAGUCACUGCAGGUAUGAUAAAUCAAUAUAUAUAAAAUACUUGUGAGGUGGUUUUUUGCAGGUAUUCACAGGGACCAGGGAGAACAGUUCAAGGUGGAGCUGUUUGAGUCAAUUACCAAGCUGAACAAAUUCAAAGAGUUCUCUAAGAGUAGCUACAAGGAGAUAAACAGCAAGGUUUGUUGGUACUGUCACAAAAGAGUACAAGAAGGAUUGAGCUACUGGAAAAUGGAGUUCUUGGUAACGUCUGGAACAGGCAGGGGCGUUUAUAUACCAAGGUCUGGUAAGGUUCGCAGGUUAGCGAAGCACAGGUUCUUUUCUACAGCAAAGGUGUCUCAGGAGUUGUCACAGGUUUUGUGAGUAUGAGGCAGGGAUAAAGAAGUCAGCAGUGGUCAGAUUGUUGUCUGAAGUUCUGUUGAGGCAGAUUUGUUUGAACUGGGUUUGAGCAGAGAUCUCUACAUCGAAAGUCUUCUUAACCAGGUUGAGUUAGGCGGCGUGUUCUGCUGGUCACAGCAGCGGUGAAGAGUGAUGUUCAGGUUGAAAGUUCAUACAGAUUGGUGUAGAGGAAAACUUCAGGAUUAGCAGAGAGUUUUUCUACUAGCUGUUGAGGUUGUCUACAAGGGUUUUUUGAGUCAAAGCGCUUCUGGUGUGAGGCAGAAAUGAUUCAAGUUCCGCAGGAGUUUUCAAGCAAGCAUCGUUUCAGGUUUUGGCAGACUAUUGGGAGACCUUAAUUGCAGUAACAAGUCAAGCAUUAUAGGCUGAUCUAUACUAGUCAAAGGAGAAGCUUAUGGAGUGUAUGUUGAGUUACUGGUGAGUGGUUUUCUCAAGUUUCCAGGUUAUGGAAAGUCCAAAGGAAGAUCAAUGGAGAAGUUUGGCGUGACACAAGUUUGUGGAGUGCUGGGAAAAGAAACUUAAGAAGGCAUGUGUGUGUUGUUGGCACAGGAAUGGGAUUGUGAUUCACAUCACAACAAGUUACAUGUCUGUUCAUUGAUGAUGAUUAAGUGGUUGAAGACUGGGAGUUGUCAAGGUUAGAGCUGGGUUUACAAGGUUCUAAGGAACAGUGGCAAGGAAGUUUUCAGGUUAUAUCAAGACAAGAUGCUGGGAGGAAACAAGUUUCAGGAAACGUUGAAGCUGAGCGGUGAAGCUCAAAGAGACUGCAAGGAGAUGCAGGAAGAUAAAGCAGAUGCGCAUGUUUGCUCAGUCACCGGAGGAAAGCUCAUGAGAAGAUUGGGCUGUAGAAGAUCAAUGCCAAGGUGGAGAUUGUAGAAUUGUGUCAUCAAUCUUCUAAGCCUCUGAGUCCAACAGAAGGUUUGAAUAUGCUGAGUGAAGGAAAGACUCUUGGUCCAGUAGAAGGUUUGCCAAAGCUAAUAACAUACAUGUGAGAAGCACGUGAGUUGGGGCAAUAGGAAUCAUCAUCUUCUGGGUAUAUCAUCGUCAUCUUCUCCGACGGAGAGUUAGUUACAGAAACAGAACGAGAGCUCAAGAUGAGAGAGUGAGAGCGAUUGGGUUGGUGAGAGUGAGCUAGAGAGAGAUGUGAUUCUUGGUAUAUCUAGACUCAUAGACUUGUUCUUCUUCCUCAGUCUUGUAACUCAGAUUAGGUGUAAUCGAGAGAGGAAGAAGACGAGUGAACCUCCGGUGACGUACUCUGUAAUCACAUUGAUUAUAGUGGAUUGGCUGAGAGACCGUUUCUCUCCCCGGUGAUGUAUAGCGGCUUCUCCACAUCGGAGAAGUGCGGUGAACACCGGGUAAACAAAGUCUCGUGUGUUAUUUCUUUAUGCUUGAUUCAUGAUUGAUUAGAUUCGUUUAGGCUUGUGAUGAGUAUUGAUUAAAGCCAAGAUCACAUGAUGAAUCCUCAACAUGAUGUAUGGAAAAAAGAAGACUGGGAUGUAAUAAAAGACGUUUCCCCCAAGAAAGAGGUGAGCUCUCUAAUUGUACAAACAUUACUCCCCAUAGUCACAUUUCAUAAAUGCCUUUUGAGUACCUGAGAUGAAACGAAGUACAAUUGCAGGUUGGAAGAUGAUUCUUACUUCACGCGAUGAACGUGUUGGUUACCAUGCAGACCCAACAUGUUUUCCCUUUAGAGCAAAAACUCUUACUCAUGAAGAAAGUUGGAAGCUAUGUGAGAGCAUAGCAUUCCCUAGAAGAGAGAUAACAGGUACGUUUUUAAUACAAGAAUCAUAUGAAUCAUUAAGGCCAAAAAGCAUGAUAUCUCUUACAUGCCUUCUUAUAAAAAAACUUGUGUAGUAAUUCCCAAAUUAUCCUCUCUGGAAUGACAUACACUAAAAACUCUAUAAAUUAAUAAUACUAAAACUAUGAAAUUUUAUUAAUUUAUAGAGUUACUAAUUUUUUCAAAGUUUCAGUUUUAGAUUUUUUUUACACUAUUUUUAUUAUAAAAACUAGGUAAGGAACCCGUGCGAUAUCGCACAUGAACUCAUUUUAUAAAAAACGUGUGUCGUAUUUUUAUAAUUGGUUUUGAAAAAAUGCAAAUAUUCAAAAUUAUCUUAUAUGCAGCUAUAUAUUGUUUAUAGAUUGAUUGUAAUAAAAUUACAAAAUAUGUCAAUACCUGUUAGUAAGGAUAUACACAUAAAAAAAUUUAUGCAUAAUUUAAAUUAUUAUCUUGAACUUAUUUUAAUAAAAUUACAAAUAUGUCACAUUGUGGAAUUUAUACUUUUGUAUAAAACAUCUUAUUGUGCUAUCAAAAAAAGUUCAUGUGACAUUAAUGUAAAACUAAAAUAAGGAGAAAAUACAUAUCUUUUGAUUUUCCAUAAAAUUAAAAAAAUAUAUAAUAUAAGUAAAUUGAGAAAUAGCCACAAACCAUAUCAAUAAAAGUAUUCAAAAUGAAAAGACACAUAGUUUCAUAUAUCAUAUAUUGUUUUACUGAAAAUAUUUGUCAAAUAACUAAUUAGUGACAAUAUUUUAUUUGUUUCAAUUAUUGUUACACCAACCAAAAUAGAACUAAUUAUAUAUUAAUUUACUUUUUAUAGUAAAUAUAAACUCUUGACUAACAAAACUUUCACUAAAAAUGACAGUAGGACAUUGUCUUCAGCCUCAUUGUCAAUUUUAUUUUCAUGUAUACUAUAUUUAAUAUCAAUUUUCUUUAAAAUAAAAUUAUCAUUUUAUGUAUUCAGAAUAACUAACAAGUUACAAUAGAUUUAACUAAUUCAGUUGGUUAUUUAAUAGAAUCUUUGAAAUAUAUUUGUUAACAUUAUAAAAGAUGAUGUAUAUGAACCAUCAUAGGGAAUCAACUUUACUCUAUAUAUAUAUAUAAUAACUUUAAUGUUCUGUUUAUAUUUUAUUAGAAUAAAUAUUGCUUACAACUGCACUUCCAUCUUCUUAAGUUUAUUCUUAUAGUUUUACAUGAUAUUUAGCUCCAACAACUUCUUGAACUACUUUCAAUUAUUUUCCGUGAUAUUUAAAUAAUUUUUUCUAUUUAAGAGACAAUAUUAGAAUUAUUAGUUUGUAGUAUAUUAAGAAAAUUUAUAUUUCUAUGUUGGUAAAAAUAGUUAUCAUUUUUAUAAAUUUAUUUACCUGCUCUAUUUUUGGCAAAAAUAUUAAGGAGAUUGAAUAUCAUAAUAAAUAUAUGUUGACUUAUGUUGAUAUGACAUUUCUCACUUAUAUUAUUUCCUUUAAUUUCCGGAAGAGUUCUUAUAAAACACCAUCACUUAUUAUAUUAAACUAACAUAAUAAUUAGAUAAAAUCAACUAAAUUGAUAAAUUAUGGAUUUAAAUCAUGAUGACUUUUGUUGUAUCAAUAAAUAAUAUUUUUGAAGUCAAGGUUGUAUUGAGAUAUAAAUACUGUAGAACUCUAUGGGUUUCUCAAUCAAAUUUCCAAGCUUAGACUAAGAUAUAAGAAUAACAAAUAGAGCUAUGCAUGUUCAUAUGUAUUUGUUCAAAAAUCUUUGAAAAUAAUUUAACAGUGAAUCUCUAUCUUUUCUAAUCUAUAGAUUGUUGUCAUUUUUUUGUGAUUUUUCAAUUCCCACAACAACUUAUAUAGAUGACUAAAGGUUACAAUGGUUGAUACCAAACAUUGCAAUGGUUAGAUAAUAGUUGCAAUAAUUAACAUCAGAAGUUACAAUGGAUUAUCACCAAAUACUACAAUCACUAACAGUUGCAAUGAUUUAUUACCAAAGAUUGCAUUGGUUCUUCACUAAAAUUAUUGCCACCAACAGUUGCAGCGAUAUCUUUAGACAUUUUGAUAACUUUUUUUAACAAAUAAAAAAAAUUAGGAUGAAAAACACAUCCUUAUACAUUUUAAGAACAUCUUUUAAACCAAUUUAAUUCCUAAAAUGAAAGUAACAUUUUUAAGAUGAAAGGAUCCAUACUUAUAUUUUUUUACAAUAUUUUUUGAAGAACGCAAUUUUUAAUAUGAAAAGACACAUUGUUAAGAUCAAAAAUUAUAACCAUUGAUAUUUAUUUGGAGAAAAUAUACAUUUUUACACAUUUUGAUAAUUUUUUUAACAAAUGAAAAUUUAGGAUGAAAAGACAUAUUUUAUACGUUUUAGGAACUUACUUUAAACCAAUGCAAUUCUUAAAGUGAAAUGACAUAUUAUUAAGAUGAAAAGUUACAUACUUAUAUAUGUGACAACAUUUUUUAAAGUAGUGUCAUUUUUAAGAUGAAAAGACACUUCGUUAGGAUGAAAAGUUACAACCUUUGACAUUUAUUUGGAGAAAAUAUACAUUUUUAGACGUUUUGACAACUUUUAUUAAGAAAUACAGUUUUUUUAGGAUUAAAAGAUACAUCUUUAUACAUUUUAACAAUUUCUUCAAAACCAAUUCGACAAUGAAAAGACACAUUGUUAAGAUGAUAAUAUUUUUACUUAUAUAUUUGACAACAUUUUUUAAAGCAAUGCCAUUUAAAUGAAAAAUAAUACUUUGUUAGGAUGAAAAAUUACAACAUUGAACAUUUAUUUUUUAACAAAUGCAAUUUGUAGGAUAAAAAGACACAUCCUUAUGCAUUUUAACAACUUCUUUUAAACCAAUGCAAUUCUUAAAAAUGAAAAGACAUACUUUUAAGAAGAAAAGAUACAUACUUGUAUUUUUUUUAGGACAUUUUUUAAUAAGAUAAAAAGACACUUUGAUAUAAUGAAAAGUUACAAUUUUUGACAUUUAUUUGGAUAAAAUACAUCUUUAGACAUUUUGACAACUUUUUUUAAUAAAUGCAAUUUGUAUGAAACUUAUACUUAUACACUUUGACAAUUUCUCUUAACCCAAUGCAAUUUUAAAAAUAAAAUAAAAUGUACUAAUAUAUUUUAACGACACUUUUAAAACAAUGCUCUUUUUAAGAUGAAAUGACACAUAAUUACAAAGAGACACUUUUUGAGAUAUUUUAAUAAUUUUUAAAAACAUUAUCUUAUAUAAUGAGAAGACACAAUUUUAAAACUAAUAUUUAUAGAAAAAACACUUAUUAGGAUAUUUUAACAAAUUUUAAACUAAUAAUUUUACUUAUAAUCUAAGAAAUUCAACCUAUAAUAGUUUUGAUCUUGAGACUUCUAGUUUACAGAUGCGUAAACCAGUAAAUAGCCAUUUAAAUUUAAUUGAAUGCAAGACAAGAUUGAUAAAAGUCAACUACUUAUGUUCGCUAAAUAUCUUGGAAAAAAGUUCUAAAUUUAAAUUGUUAUUUUCCUAUAUAUACGAAAGGAGAAUUGGGACGCAUAUAAUUAUAACAACUUUUUGGCUAUGAUAUUCUUUGUAUAAUAUGUAUAAAGACAAAAAAUGCCUUUCAUUCCACUGUUACAUUUCCACUCCCACUUACAUCGUUGAUCUUCAUUCUUUUUUUUUUUUCUAAAAUUUCUAUUGAUCCUUCUUCUCUUUCUUUUAUCCUAUGAUCAUUUACAAGUUUUAUCAAAUUCUUGAAAAGUGAUGCUUCGCACGCUGUGUAAUCAUUUGAUCCGAUAAUUGUGGCUGAUCACUUUUUUCAUAUCUUUAUUUGGAUUUACAAUUUUACUACUUUUCAAUAUAUGUGGAUUGAGAAACAGAGGAUGCGUAGACCUAUUAGAGAAGAUGAACAGUAUACGUUGCGUUGUACUAUUCCAUUUGAUAAACAUAAAAUAGUAAAAUGCAACAAGCAUUGUUAAAUCAUCUCCACGUUUUGUCCUUUCUUCCUCCUCCUCAUCCUCUUUCUUUUUCUUCUCAUCCUCCUCUUCUUCCAUCACCAUCAGUUACUACAAAAGAUUCCACAUGUAGCAUCACCACGUUCAGCUGUUUCAUCACCACCACUACAAUUGCCAUACUAUUCUAAAUGAAAUAUAGUAUAUUUUAGACCUUCAAGAUUAGGGUUUAGGUAGCUCCUUUAUGGGCGAUGGUUUGGUUUUACAAUUUGGGUUUAGGGUUUGGGUUAAGGGUUUACGGUUUGGGUUUAGGGUUUAGAGUUUGGGUUUAGGGGGGUUUUGGGUAUACGGUUUGGGUUUAGGGUUUAGACCUUCAAGGUUAGAGUUUAGGUAGCUCCGUUAUGGGCGAUGAUUUGGUUUUACAAUUUGAGUUUAGGGUUUGGGUUAAGGGUUUACGGUUUGGGUUUAGGGUUUAAAGUUUGGGUUUAGGGGGGGUUUUGGGUUUAGGGUAUACGGUUUGGGUUUAGGGUUUAGACCUUCAAGGUUAGAGUUUAGGUAGCUCCGUUAUGGGCGAUGAUUUGGUUUUACAAUUUGAGUUUAGGGUUUGGGUUAAGGGUUUACGGUUUGGGUUUACAGUUUGGGUUUAGGGGGAUUUAGGAUUUUGGUAGCUCCGUUUGGAUCUAUGGUUUGGGAUAAGAAUUUGUGUUUAGGGUUUGUAUUUAUGGUUUAGAGUUUUGGUUUAGAGUUUGGGUCAACAAUUGGUAACCAACAUCAAUUGCCAUACUAUUCUAAAUAAAAUAUAGUAUAGUUAGAGUGAAAUUAUUCGUGUGACUAUAAUAAAUAGUGUGUAGUAUAGUAUGAUAAUUUUAUUUUCUAUUGCCAUUUCAACAUCAAGCGCACGCGUCUAGAGGGAGAUUUUGGUCAUGUUUUGCGCAAAUUGUCCUAUCCAUCUUGAAUUACUGUAGAAUGACUAUAUUCUUCAUUCUUUUGCCUCUUAUGAAUAUUCAGCAAAUUUUUCCAUUACAAAACGACACAAGUGAUAAAAGAUGCUACUUUUGAUAAAUAAAUGGUCAUUAACAAAACAUAGAUGCAAAUAACUUAAAAUAAAUAAAAAAAUUGUCAGAUUUGUUUGUUGUCAAAGAAAUCGUAAGAUGUGUUUUGCCUUUAGUUUUCGUUAAGAAUUGAAUAUAUUUAAAACUCUAGACUUCUACAUCAUAUUUGUUUGUCUCUAACCAGCAAUUGAUAUGUUUCCGAGAAAUAAUAUAUAAAUAAAAAGAUCUUUUAAUGAGUUUUAUAAUCUCAGUAGUUCGCACAUCUCCAAACCAGGCAGUAGAAAACAAUGUAAAUUUACAAUUCUUGAGUGAACAAUUAUAUUAUUUUGUGAACAAUUAUAUUGACAUGGGGAUUCCUAAGUUUAAAAUGUGACACCUAUGCAGAUUUAAAUAUUCCAGUGGAAUUAAACCAUUCCCAUUAAAAAGAAAUUGAUGAUAAUUCCCAUGAGAAUAACACUCUCCAAUUAAGAGACACAUUGUUUGAUUAACUCAUGACGGUCAUCACCAACCGGUUUUCCUCUAAUGGAUUUAAUGAAUGACAGACAACCCCCUUUUUUGUACAUUGUAAUUUGGAAAGCAUUAAUUUUAGACUCUGACAAAACGCAAGAACAACAACACAUAUAAAUUAGAUAUGUUGUAACAACUAUUUAAAAAAUUGAAUGAUGGAAAUCCCAAAUUUGUUUAAAGAAAAUGACGUUGAUAGUGGUUUUUGAAAAAAAAAAAAAGGGAUUAUGAUGAACAAUAACAAUGAAAACUCAUUGUAAACACGCUUUAGAGAGCCAAACAAAUAAAUCAAUUCUGAGAUUUUGGGUGGAAAGGUAAUUUAAGAGGAGAUGGAAAACGAUAACAGGAAUGAGUCUUUAAAAACACACAUAUAUAUAUAGAUUGAUAAGGGAUGCUUCAUCUAAGAGUUGUAUUGUUUUGAGAUGGAGACUAUUCAGUGAAAAGAUGCAACGCACCGCAGUUUUAUUUUUUAUAUCAUUAAAUUCAAUCAAAUAUGACUGUUGGACUUAAAACAUUUUUCUUUUAAAAAGUUAUGAUAUCACCAGUUUUGGUAUGCUAUUAUAUAUAUAAUUUUUUUUAUAAUAAAAAGAUACAAUUUUAAAAAUUAAUAAUAUUCAGUUUGUUAUGAAAAUAUAUAAUUUUUAUAAUGAACAGACACAAUUUUCAAACUAAUACAUUUCAGUUUUUUAUGAAACAACACAACCAAAGUAGUUAUUUUGAAAAGACACAACUAUUUAGACUUUUAGAAAAUACACAACUUUUCAACAUAAUUGAGAUUCAUAACCUUUGGAAUUAUACAGGAUUGCUAUUAUUAGUAGAUAAAAUAUUUGAUUUUAUCAUAUAUAUAUAUAUUAAUUAACUUUUAGAAAUCCGACAUUUAUAUUGUUUUUGUUACACUAUUUGGUGUAUACAAAAUAUGUUUUAUAGAAUUUAAAAUGUAUUUUUAUAUAUAAUUUUACGAAAUAUUAACAAAAUAUAUUGAAAUGUUAAGAAAAAAUAGAAAUGAACUUCAUUGUGAAUAUAAAACAAAUAAUACAAUGUUUAAUGUUUGUACUUUAGUGUGUUUAUUAAUUAUAGAAUUUUUACUGCAUAUUGUUAUAAAUAUAUAUAUAUAUAUAUAUAUAUAUAUUUUAAAAACAUUUGAAAAGACUAAACACACUAUUAUUUCAAGACUCUGAUCUUAUAACGUGUGUUACUAUUUUCAGAAUUUGAUGUUGAUGAGGAACUAGAAGCCAUGGGUAAGGAAAUGGUCGCAUAUUGUGGAGGACUACCAUUAGCCAUUAAAGUGUUGGGAGGCUUGUUAGCUAAUAAAACCAUGGUUGAAGAGUGGAAAAGAGUAGAUGACAAUAUUCAAAGUCAGAUAGUUCGCAUAGAUGACAAAAGUCAAGAUUCUGUGUACCGAGUAUUGUCUAUGAGCUAUGAAGAUUUGCCAAUGCAGUUAAAGCAUUGCUUCCUCUACCUAGCUCAUUUUCCCGAAGAUUACGAGAUACAAGUGGAGAGAUUGUAUUAUUACUGGGAAGCAGAAGGAAUAAUAACGUCAAGUGGCGAUGGAGAAACCACUAGGAAAAUUGGAGAAGACUACAUAGAGGAGCUAGUAAGGAGAAAUAUGGUUAUUGGAGUAAAAGAGGAUUUGAGUUGCAGAUGGGAGUAUUGUCAAAUGCAUGACAUGAUGAGAGAAGUAUGUUUAAAUAAAGCCAAAGAAGAGAACUUUCUUCAGUUUAUCAAAGUCCCUACUUCUUCCACCUUUACCAUCAAUGCUCAUACUCCUACCAGAUCUCGCAGACUCGUAGUACACGGUGGUGGUAAUGCAUUUGAUAUGCUGGAACGUAAAAACAAUCAAAAAGCUAGAUCUGUUUUGGGGUUUGGACUCGACAGCAACUUUUGGAAGCAGUCAGGUCAAGGAUUCCAAAAUUUACUGUUACUUAGGGUCUUAGAUUUGAGUUUAGAUUAUAAAAGCGACUAUAGAAGAGGGAGAAUACCAUCAAGCAUUGGAAAGCUCAUUCAUUUGAGAUAUUUGAGCUUACACAUGGGUAGUGCAACUCAUGUACCUUCUUCUUUACGAAAUCUAAAGCUUCUAAUCUAUUUGAGUAUUUCCUCCUGGGGACUGGAAAGAGUUCAUCUGCCAAGUAUCUUUAAAGAGAUGGUAGAGUUGAGGUUCCUGCUGCUUCCCCCUUUUAUUGACGAUAAAACAAAGUUGGAAUUGGGUAAUCUAGUGAACCUGGAGUACUUGAUCUGCUUCCGAUCAGAAAACGGUAGCAUCACAGACUUCCUCCGAAUGAAAAAGCUCAGGACUCUCGAGAUAUUUCUCAAAGGCAGGUAUACUUCUGAAACUCUAGCGUCAUCUCUCUGUGAAUUAAGAAACCUGGAGGUGCUUAGGUUGAUCGAUGAGAACCGAUCCGGUGGGGCUUAUGAUGUGGAUUUCGUUUGGAAUUUCAUUCAUCUAAGGCAUUUAGAUCUGGACAUACAUAUGACAAGGCUUCCUGAUCACUCUCGAUUUCCUCCCCACCUUGCAUACAUAUCUCUACGUCACUGUGAAUUGGAGGAGGAUCCAUUGCAGAUUCUGGAAAAGUUGCUUCAUUUAAAGUCGGUUGUAUUAUGUCGAAGGGCUUUCGUGGGGAGGAAGAUGGUGUGUUCAAAUGGUGGAUUCCCUCAAUUAUGUAAUCUAGAAAUACGGUACCUAGACGACUUGGAAGAGUGGAUAGUGGAAGAAGGGUCGAUGCCAUGUCUUCGUACCUUGUCUAUAUACUAUUGUAAAAAGUUGAAGGAGCUACCGGAAGGGCUCAAGUAUAUCACUUCUUUAAAGGAACUGAUAAUCACCGAUAAGAACAAGGAGUGGAAGACGAAACUCGUACCAGGUGGGGAAAGUUACCACAAAGUCCAACACAUUCCCAGUGUUCAAUUAGACUAUCGUGGCGACGAAUAAGGAGAAUACAACCGUCUCAGGUAUAUAUACUUUUGUUUGGUAUAAUGUCAAUAUUGUUCUCCUUGAAGUUUAGUGUGGAAGUCUCAACUAUCUAACCUUUUUAUUAUUCGGUUUUCAGGUGAACCUACUCAGAAUCAGUACCCACUUAUUGAUUCUGUGAUGUGAUAUAUGUCGUUUUUGUUGUAUUGGUGUUUUAAAGUUUAUAUAUCUUGUUUGUGAUAUAUUUCGUUUUUCUGUUUGCAUGCUCAUUCACUGUAAUGCUACGUUUGAAAGACAUUUGUAUGUUGAACCGUAUCUUCUCUUCAAUGUCUCCGUUUUGUGUGCUUAGUUGACUUGUAUGGUCGGACUUGGAGAUAGAGGUCCUUUGAUAGUGAUCGCUGAACAUCAUUCUUAACAUCACUUUAUCAUUUGGUUCAACGAAGGUCGAGAUUGAGGAGUCGAGAGCUUUUACACGAAACGUCUAGUUAAUCCCUUUUUAGAGCAUCUCAAACCCACCCCUAUAUUUGCUUCUAUAUGCUAUAAUAGAGGAAAAUCUACUCCACCCCAUCUCUAUUUCUUCUUCUAAAAUAGAGAUUGCUAUUUUCUCCUAUAUUUAGAGGAAAAACUAGCAUUUCUCUAUAAUAGAGACAUACUUUUUUAUUUACACAAGAAUCCUUUAACUUUUUGUGAUUAUAAUUAAAAUACAUAUUUAUGUAGAAAUACAUGAUUUUUACAUAUAAAGCCUAAUUAUCUUUUGUUUACAUAAUAUUUUUUACAGUUAUAAGUAAAUAAAAUAAAUAAAUAAUAAUAUUAUUUUAUGUGAAAGUCUAAUUUUUAACAAAUAAUACUUAAUUUUAUAUUUAAUACUAAAAUUAUUAAUUAUAGUUUAAUUUCUAAAAAAUCUACAUAAACUUUACAUAUUGAUAACAUAUUUAUUUAAAUAUUAAUUAAUACAACAUAUUAAAACGCCUUAAUAUUAUGGUAAAUUACUUCCAGAUCUCCAUAAUGAUGGUUAGAUAAUGUAUACUUUGUUUUACUAUUUUUUUGUUUAAUGUUUUUUGUAACAAACUGUUUAAAUUAAAUAAUAUUGCAUUUUUAUGAAAAAAAAUCUAAAUGAUAUAAUGAAUGGGUUAAUUUUCAAUAUUUAUAAGUUAAAAGGUGUUAAUUGUAAAAUUUUAAAAGAAUCUCUUAAGAAUAUUUCUUUUUAAAAGAUAAAAUAGAAGAAUACAUUGGAAAGAAAUCCACAUCUAUUAUAGAGUUACUCUAUUAUAAAGGAAAAAAAUAGAAAAAUACAUUGGAGAUGGUCUUACAGAUAUACAACCUUAGGAGUUUAUUGAAACCAAAGCAAACUCAGCACAAUGGGACUCCUUACAGUUGAUACUACAAAGAGAUUAUUGAAUCAAAUGAAAUGAAUGAAUGAAUUUAGGAAAGUUUGUUACAAGAAGUAUAUAUAUACACGGUUAAGUUAUAGGAAACUUAAACCAUGUUGGUUAUCUAGUAAACCGAUAUAGUAUAUUGAUGGUUUAUGAUGAACUCGGUCUGGAUCAUAAUAUCAGAUCACGAGUCUCUACCAAACAAAGAGUCCUUUCGAUCUCUGCAUGUUUGUAUUGACUUUAAGGGGGUGUUAAUGGGACUCGAAGCGAAUCCAAAACGGGUGAUCCGUGCGUUUCAGACAUCAAUCGCCAAACCUCACUUUUCCAGACCGAACCGAACCGAAUCGACCCUGAGUUUUCCAAAUUUUAAGUAACUGCAUAAACCGGUUAAUUCUCAUCGACUCCUGUAAUUCGUCUUUCACUACCAAACCGGACAUAUUGAUGGUUUAAUGAGCUCGGUCAUGAGUCUUUCUGCCAAACAAAGAGUCCUUUCGAUCUCUGCAAAAUUUGUUUUUGACUUAGGGGAAGUCUACUAGUUGAAGCGAAGAAUCCAAAACGCGGUGAUCCGUGCGUUUUCAGACAUCAAUCGCCAAACGUAUGCAUAACUGGGUUAGAGCUUCCUCUUCCGAUUUCACCGGAACUCCUUUUUUUUUUUUUUUUUUUUAAAUAUAUAUAUUAGAUUAAAAUAUCAACCCGAAAAACGGGAACCGGAACAAGACCUCCGGCUAGUCGUCGAAUAAACAGUAAAUCUCACAAAUAGAUUAGGCUUAUCACUAUUACACAAGGAGAGAACAGCAUAAAAACAGCGGGAGGGAAAAAACCUAAGGUUCGGGGAUCCGUUACCGGUUCCCGUCAUCACCAGAAGUCCGCGGCCAACGACGCCGACCAAAUCGAAAUUUAGACGACCACUGCAAAGAUACUUUCUCUCAAACCAGCGCCGACACACAGCUGCUCGAUCCACACGACACUCUCUUUCUCUUACCGACUAUCAAAAAAUGGAAAUCGAAACAGACCAACUAGUUAAGGGGAACCGCCAUCCUCAACAAGUCCGUCUCUCUUGGCAGACCCUGACCAGUACGGAGAUACGGAGAGGUCGUAUUCGACACACUAACCCGAGACUUGAACUUGAUUUAUAGAUAGGGGGAGUGAAGAGAUAACCUGAAGGCUUUCUAGAACCGAAACAGAGACGCUUCGGCCAAAAGAAGCCGUAAAACGGGCUGAGAUGUGGCUGGCUAAAAACACGCUGAGACGAGCACCUGCAAGCCAUUGAUGGACUCCAACUUGCCGAGAAGAUCAAAGACCCACAAGGCACUGGGAUAGCCGGAGACCAAACGUGCCGUCACGGAGAGGAAAAUGAACCUGCAGAGACCACCUGAAGGUCCAACCAUCUCACACGCAUCACCUCUAAAAACUAGAGGAUGAAUCAAAAGGCUAGGCUGAAGCAACAACCGGUGACAGGACGGAGUUGCAGAUACAAAGAAGAACCGGCUCGAGAAACCCAAAACAGAAGGUGCACAGUUCCGAGAAGGGCUCUCUGCUGUUUAAACCGAAGGCUGGAGGAGACAAAGACCGAGGAACACCACCGGAUCUCCGACGCCUGAGCAUAGACAACUCCACGCGUCAAGAGAGCCAAAGGUCUUCACGCGCCAUCGAGGAAACUUGCAUCUGACACCGCCAGAGAAGAGACCACCGCUGCACGUCUAGAAGUCGAGGACCUCCGAGGCACAUCUUGAAAGGGGUUGAGACCGAGUCCAAAGCCGAGACACCAAGGCGACAAACUAACGGAGACAACCGCCUCUCCACACCGACGAAAGGACAGAUCCGAGUCGAGUGAGACUCUUCCAAAGCCCACGCGCCACCAACUCGCGGAAGUAACCGAUGAAGCAAGACAGAUCUGGGAAAAACGCUCAUCGGUACUCACCACCCAAAAUCCGACUCUCCCCUUACCAAAACGCCUUGCUGCCUCAUCUUGACACCGGGGAAGGCCACCAUAGACUAGAUCUGUCACCGAGCUCCAGAUCCAGAGAGCCAGCUUCCGGCAGAGCUCCCUAGGGCUUCGACAUAUCAGCUGCAGGACGUAGAGCGAGGGGAAAGCAAAGAAGAAAAGAGGAAGGGUUAAGAGAGAGCCACCGGCGACGGCGCCGAGGCCACCGUGCCGGAGGGGAGGAGAUGAUUUUUUUUUUGUUUUGUGUCGAGAGAGAAAAAGUAGAGAGAGAGAGUUUUUUUGGAGGGUGAAGUUAGAAUAAGAGUUUUUUUCAUUCAAUUUCCGAGAGAGAAAAAGUAGAGAGAGGAUUUCACCGGAACUCCUCCACAGCCUAGGAG